UGUUGGGGUCUCACCCAUGAAACAACCACUGGAUUAAAUUUGAGAGACUGUGGUCCAAACAUGUUGUGUGAAUCUUGGUUCUCUGGUCGGAACAAAGGUUACCAUGCUCUCAUUAUGCCAGACAGGCAAACACUUAGAGCACUUCGGAGCCGUUGUCUCUCUUCAUUAUCUUCCCUUUGCAAUUGCGUGGAGGUUACCAUUGUGUAGUCUUCUUGUAAUAGGUUGAGAGGUCACCAACUCGAAGCAUUAGACUAGCUAGAAGUUUUGUCCUUUCACUUCGCCGUCGUUGUCGUCCGAGAAGGGCCUCUAUCUCCUAGAAGUUCCCUUUAAAUGUCGGCCCGACUGUUGGGAGCCUUUCGACCAAUUGGCAACCACUUAUGGCUAGGAAUUUCCCCAGCUUUGCUUAGCCCUGAUUUGUCUUCUCAUGCAUGGAUAUGGCGUUUCCCCAGAUUUGCUCAGCUUUGAUUGCUCUUCAUUUUUCCUGCAAAUCAUCUCACCUGUAGCGUGUGAUGCAGGAAACUAGAUACGGAGGCGGAAGGAUUCUUGGUGGCUUGACUUGUGUAUUGAGGAUGAAUGGAAUGAAUGGGCUGCGAGUCGAUCAAGGAUGGCAUUUAUUUUAGUUUCUGCAUUAUGUUUUCUUUUGUAAUUCCACAUUUAGUUUUGAACAAAUAAUUUAAAGUUAUGUUUUAUGUUUUAUUAAAACAAUGGGUACCCAUACCACAUUUUAUAUUUUACUUUGUAAUUUGCACAAUAUUUAUGUUGAAGUUUUAAUAAAGUUGUUAUUAUUUCUUA